rnacentral:rRNA from 1 species
GACGAAGGGGGCUAGCGUUGUUCGGAAUUACUGGGCGUAAAGCGCGUGUAGGCGGUUGCCAAAGUCGGGUGUGAAAGCCUUGAGCUCAACUCAAGAAUUGCACUCGAUACUUGGUGACUGGAGGACCGGAGAGGAUAGUGGAAUUCCCAGUGUAGUGGUGAAAUGCGCAGAUAUCAGGAAGAACACCCGUGGCGAAGGCAGCUCGCUGGGACGUGACUGACGCUGAGACGCGAAAGCGUGGGGAGCAAACAGG